rnacentral:rRNA from 1 species
AGCAGCCGCGGUAAUUCCAGCUCCAAUAGCGUAUAUUAAAGUUGUUGCAGUUAAAAAGCUCGUAGUUGAAUUUCGGGGUUAGUAGGCUGGUCAUGCCACCGGUAUGUACUGGUCUUUCUGAUUCCUCCUUCCUGAUGAACUGUAAUGCCAUUAAUUUGGUGUUGCAGGGAAUCUGGACUGUUACUUUGAAAAAAUUAGAGUGUUUAAAGCAGGCUAACGCUUGAAUACAUUAGCAUGGAAUAAUGAAAUAGGACGCUCGAUCCUAUUUUGUUGGUUUCUAGGAUUGACGUAAUGAUUAAUAGGGAUAGUUGGGGGCAUUAGUAUUCAAUUGUCAGAGGUGAAAUUCUUGGAUUUAUUGAAGACUAACUACUGCGAAAGCAUUUGCCAAGGAUGUUUUCAUUAAUCAAGAACGAAAGUUAGGGGAUCGAAGACGAUCAGAUACCGUCGUAGUCUUAACCAUAAACUAUGCCGACUAGGGAUCGGAUGAUGUUAAUUUUUUAAUGACUCAUUC